rnacentral:rRNA from 1 species
CCUACGGGAGGCAGCAGUGGGGAAUAUUGCGCAAUGGGCGAAAGCCUGACGCAGCGACGCCGCGUGAGGGAUGAAGGUCUUCGGAUCGUAAACCUCUGUCAGCAGGGAAGAACGGUCACUGUGCUAAUCAGCAGUGAAUUGACGGUACCUAUAAAGGAAGCACCGGCUAACUCCGUGCCAGCAGCCGCGGUAAUACGGGGGGUGCAAGCGUUGUCCGGAAUCAUUGGGCGUAAAGCGUUCGUAGGCGGCAAGGUAAGUCUGAUGUUAAAGCCCGGGGCUCAACUCCGGUUCGGCAUUGGAUACUAUCUAGCUAGAAUGUGGUAGAGGUAAAGGGAAUUCCUGGUGUAGCGGUGAAAUGCGUAGAUAUCAGGAGGAACAUCGGUGGCGAAAGCGCUUUACUGGACCAUUAUUGACGCUGAGGAACGAAAGCCAGGGGAGCAAAUGGGAUUAGAUACCCUGGUAGUC